rnacentral:rRNA from 1 species
AGAGUUUGAUCCUGGCUCAGGAUGAACGCUAGCUACAGGCUUAACACAUGCAAGUCGAGGGGCAGCAUGCUGAUAGCUUGCUAUCAGUGAUGGCGACCGGCGCACGGGUGAGUAACGCGUAUCCAACCUGCCUGUCACUCAGGAAUAGCCCGGUGAAAACCGGAUUAAGUCCUGAUGAUAUCAUUAGAGGGCAUCUGACGAUGAUUAAAGGUUACGGUGACAGAUGGGGAUGCGUCUGAUUAGCUAGUUGGCGGGGCAACGGCCCACCAAGGCAGCGAUGCGUAGCCGGCCUGAGAGAGUGAACGGCCACAUUGGAACUGAGACACGGUCCAAACUCCUACGGGAGGCAGCAGUGGGGGAUAUUGCACAAUGGGGGAAACCCUGAUGCAGCGACGCCGCGUGGAGGAAGAAGGUUUUCGGAUUGUAAACUCCUGUCGUUAGGGACGAUAAUGACGGUACCUAACAAGAAAGCACCGGCUAACUACGUGCCAGCAGCCGCGGUAAAACGUAGGGUGCAAGCGUUGUCCGGAAUUACUGGGUGUAAAGGGCGAGUAGGCGGAUUGGCAAGUUGGGAGUGAAAUGUCGGGGCUUAACCCCGGAACUGCUUCCAAAACUGUUGAUCUUGAGUGAUGGAGAGGCAGGCGGAAUUCCCAGUGUAGCGGUGAAAUGCGUAGAUAUUGGGAGGAACACCAGUGGCGAAGGCGGCCUGCUGGACAUUAACUGACGCUGAGGAGCGAAAGCGUGGGGAGCAAACAGGAUUAGAUACCCUGGUAGUCCACGCCGUAAACGAUGGAUACUAGGUGUGGGAGGUAUUGACCCCUUCCGUGCCGCAGUUAACACAUUAAGUAUCCCACCUGGGGAGUACGACCGCAAGGUUGAAACUCAAAGGAAUUGACGGGGGCCCGCACAAGCAGUGGAGUAUGUGGUUUAAUUCGAAGCAACGCGAAGAACCUUACCUGGUCUUGACAUCCCGAUGACCAGUCUAGAGAUAGAUUUUUCUCUUCGGAGACAUCGGUGACAGGUGGUGCAUGGUUGUCGUCAGCUCGUGUCGUGAGAUGUUGGGUUAAGUCCCGCAACGAGCGCAACCCUUAUUGUCAGUAGCCAGCAGGUGAAGCUGGGCACUCUGAUGAGACUGCCGGGGAUAACCCGGAGGAAGGUGGGGAUGACGUCAAAUCAUCAUGCCCCUUAUGAGCAGGGCUACACACGUGCUACAAUGGCGUAAACAGAGGGAAGCGAAGGAGUGAUCUGGAGCAAAUCUCAAAAAUAACGUCUCAGUUCGGAUUGUAGUCUGCAACUCGACUACACGAAGCUGGAAUCGCUAGUAAUCGCGGAUCAGAAUGCCGCGGUGAAUACGUUCCCGGGUCUUGUACACACCGCCCGUCA